UAGAAUGGACAUGCGCACGUGGGCUUUAUAUUUUUUUCACCGCAAAAGUUGUAUUAUCAGCUGACAUGCACCUGCGACAUGAACGAUAUAACUUUAUUUGGCAGCGCUGGGUAGCUAUAUUUUCAAUCAUCAAAUUGUAUGGGGUUUUUUUUUCUAAAAAGACUGCAGUUGGUUUAUUUUCAUUUCAUCAACUGAGCACUGCGAAGGCUAGCUAUGAGCUGCUGGCACCUGAAUCGGGGAGGACUGGCUUGUGGUAAUAAUUGAGCGGAGUGAGUGGACUCAAACACGGUUCCCAUGGGUUUGCUGUCAUUCAAUUCGUCGUUCUAUACAUUAUUAUGAGCGUCCUUAGCAGUCUCCUAUGGCUGCUGGUAAGUUCAGCGAAAAUUUAGAAGUAGCUGUUAGUUGGCUAGCUAACGCAAAUUCCUAGCCUCUCACUGUCAGAUAACGUUACUCAGUAAAGUUCUGCCAGGUUGACACAUUAAAACGUAUUUCUAUAAUUACGGCCGUGACACCAGCUUGUGUAGCCAGCUACGUUUAAUAAUGCUUUAAUGAAUGCGUUUUUACUUAUUUUAUCAUAUCUUUAUAUUCAUGUUAUUGUGCCGUUAUUUCGCAAAGCAGAUCAAUUUGUGGCGUAGCGCGCCAUUCUUUUGAAAAGUGGAACGAGAAAUGCGUUCUUCUGAUUCCGUCAGGACACUUCUCCCCAACGCACCAGUACGCUCAUCAAUCGAUUCCACCAUGUAAAUAUAAUGUCUUCGAAACUUCUUGUGCAAAUUUCACUAUAACAACGCGAAAAAAUACACAUAUGUAAACACAUUUUUCAAUAUGGUCAUGUUUUAAAUUUACAAAGAACAAGUGCAUCAUUAUAUGAAGUUGACCGCCAGCUCAGCUCUACCUCCACAGUCAACAGUGCUUGUUACCAGCAAGGUAUUGUGGGUACUGACAUUCACAGAAUAUUAAUCAAUUUUUAGAUAUAAUUAUAGUAAUUGGCGUACAUUUUAUCAAGAAUAUUGUGUGUCCAUGAACGGGUUUAUAUUUACCUCUGUAAAUCUCGCAGACAAUGACACUUUAGAUUAAACCGUUAGUGGAAAUGCUUGUCCCGACAUAGACUUCCCCUGCUCGCCCAAAGAUACGUUAAGACUAUACUUUCAGGGAUCAUUUCUAUAGUUCUUGACUUGUGAAAUGUGUUUCUAAAGUGUUCGAUCUCGCAACCCACGAUGAUGAGAUGCGAUAUUCCCUUCUGAGCGCGAAGCGGGCUUUGAGUAAUGAUUCAGUUCAUCCGCUCUCUGCCAUUGAUGACCGUUCUUUGCUUCCUUGUGGAGCAUUGAGGGAGGGAAUAUGAUCAGAGUGGUUAGCUUUUAAUAUUGUUAAUAUUAACUUCUUUAGGACACGUAUUGUAGUUGAGUUUUUAAAAUAGUUUAUCACCAUUAUACAACACAGUUGGUUUCAAUACAGUUUAAUGUUCCUGUUUUCCUUGCUAUGACGUUGUAUAGGAGAUAUGUGAUUUUAAUCCAGUCAGAACUCUACCUUUUCAAUUACAUGUGAUUUCUCAAAAGGUUUUUCUUGUAUUUUCUCUAUUGUAGGCCAUUGACUUUUUCAGCCAAUUUUUCAGUCCCAUAAAAACUGCAAUGAGUACCUUCUGGCACCUCCCUCAUUUACAGUUAUAUUGUGGAGCAUCUUGAAAAUGUCUUUUAUGAAGCUUUCUUGGGCAUAAAACACGACAAUAACUGAUUCCUUAUGUGACCUAUUGAUGAAAAGUAGCCCGAUAACCAUGAUUUCGGCCACGUGGUACUAUAUAGUGUGCUCGUUGUACGGUGGGAAACCGUUAGUGAGAAUAACAGCUCCAACAGAGGCUACCCUCGCUCGCCCUCAAUUUAAUUAAGACUAUACUUUCAGGGAUCAUUUCUAUAGUUCUUGACUUGAGAAAUGUGUUUCUAAAGUGUUCGAUCUCGCAACCCACGAUGAUGAGAUGCGAUAUUCCCUUCUGAGCGCGAAGCGGGCUUUGAGUAAUGAUUCAGUUCAUCCGCUCUCUGCCAUUGAUGACCGUUCUUUGCUUCCUUGUGGAGCAUUGAGGGAGGGAAUAUGAUCAGAGUGGUUAACUCCUAAUAUUGAUAAAUUUAAUAUGUUUUUAUUGUAAUUCAGGUUAUUAAUUCAUUUUUCAC
ensembl:lncRNA